GACCGGGUGGCUCAGUGGUUGAGCACCGGCCUGUGAACCAGGUUGAGGUUCGAUUCCCGGUCA
rfam:Myotis brandtii contig210768, whole genome shotgun sequence.